GACGAACGCUGGCGGCGUGCUUAACACAUGCAAGUCGAACGAAGUGGCGAACGGGUGAGUAACGCGUAAUCAACCUGCCCUUCAGAGGGGGACAACAGUUGGAAACGACUGCUAAUACCGCAUACUGAAGGAGGGGAUUGCGUCUGAUUAGCUAGUUGGGGGGGUAACGGCCCACCAAGGCGAUGAUCAGUAGCCGGUUGGGGGGGAUGAACGACCCCAUUGGGACUGAGAAACGGCCCCGACUCCUACGGGAGGCAGCAGGUGGGAAACUUCCGCAAUGGACGAAAGUCUGACGGAGCAACGCCGCGUGAGUGAUGACGGGCUUCGGGUUGUAAAGCUCUGUUAAUCGGGACGCGGUACCGGAAUAGAAAGCCACGGCUAACUACGUGCCAGCAGCCGCGGUAAUAC
rnacentral:rRNA from 1 species